CCAUUACUGUAAUAGUGUGAGCCGGGAUAAGCUUGGUGCUACCUCUUUUCUUUUGUUGUUAUGUUCUUUGAAAUAAGAGUAUUGAGAGUUUCUGAAUAUUGUGAAGUGAAUCAUGGAAUGGAAAUGUGAUUGAUAUUAUUUGAGAAGAAGAAAGAUUGAAUGCUGAAAUCUAAUUGUAGUUCAGCAGAGAGAAUGAGUCUGUGUUUGUGUGAAACACCGUAAUGUGAAUGGUAGUUCUAUGUGAAGAAUUCCAGUAAUUGGAAUGAGGGUAAUUGUGUGCUGAAGCUGUGAUGUUGAGGUACUACAGUUG
rnacentral:lncRNA from 1 species